GACGAACCGAGCGAACGUUGUUCGGAAUCACUGGGCUUAAAGGGCGCGUAGGCGGGCGGCUAAGUCCGCGGUGAAAUCCUCCAGCUCAACUGGAGAACGGCCGCGGAUACUGGUCGUCUCGAGGAACGUAGGGGUAUGCGGAACUAUCGGUGGAGCGGUGAAAUGCGUUGAUAUCGAUAGGAACUCCGGUGGCGAAGGCGGCCCCCUGGGCCGAACCUGACGCUGAGGCGCG
rnacentral:rRNA from 1 species